rnacentral:lncRNA from 10 species
AGAAGCUGUUGUGCUGUGCCAGCCUUCCCUCCUUUGUCCAGCAUUCCCGGGAGGGAGAAAGGCGGCACUCCUCAGGCAGGUUCCUGGCACAUCAUUCUUGUUGAUGGGUAUGUUAUGUACACAUCUCGGCCCUCAGUGACAUCUCUAAGGAAGGAAAUUUGUUGAAAUCAUACUUUGGGAGAACAAAGCAAGGUAUAAAUACUAAUAUGUUUUUCUUCUUAGUGUUAGUUCAGAUCUAUACAGCAGAAAAGGUGCUUUGAUGGCCACCUUACACCCAUGUCAUGUAGACACAGGCUGCACAGAAGAGUCACAGUGAUAUGGUUUGGCUGUGUCCCCACCCAAAUCUCAUCUUGAAUUGUAACUCCCAUAUUUCCCAUGUGUUGUGGGAGGGGCCCAGUGGGAGGUAGUCAAAUCAUGGGGGUGGGUCUUAUCCCAUGAAUAAGUAUCAUGAGAUCUGAUGGUUUUAUAAAGGGGAGUUCCCUUGCACAUGCUCUCUCUUGCCUGCCACCAUGUGAGACAUGACUUUGCUCCUCAUUUGCCUUCUGCCAUGACUGUGAGGCCUCCCUACGUGGAACUGUGAGUCAAUUAAACCUCUUUCCUUUGUAAACUACACAGUCUCG